UUAAAGCCGGACAUUCAGUCGACGGUAACAGGAAGAGCUUGCUGCUUUGCUGACGAGUGGCGGACGGGUGAGUAAUGUCUGGGAAACUGCCUGAUGGAGGGGGAUAACUACUGGAAACGGUAGCUAAUACCGCAUAACGUCGCAAGACCAAAGAGGGGGACCUUCGGGCCUCUUGCCAUCGGAUGUGCCCAGAUGGGAUUAGCUAGUAGGUGGGGUAACGGCUCACCUAGGCGACGAUCCCUAGCUGGUCUGAGAGGAUGACCAGCCACACUGGAACUGAGACACGGUCCAGACUCCUACGGGAGGCAGCAGUGGGACCCCC
rnacentral:rRNA from 1 species